AGAUUGAACGCUGGCGGCAGGCCUAACACAUGCAAGUCGAGCGGUAGAGAGGUGCUUGCACCUCUUGAGAGCGGCGGACGGGUGAGUAAUGCCUAGGAAUCUGCCUAGUGGUGGGGGAUAACGUUCGGAAACGGACGCUAAUACCGCAUACGUCCUACGGGAGAAAGGCGGGGGACCUUCGGGCCUCGCGCCAUUAGAUGAGCCUAGGUCGGAUUAGCUAGUUGGUGAGGUAAUGGCUCACCAAGGCGACGAUCCGUAACUGGUCUGAGAGGAUGAUCAGUCACACUGGAACUGAGACACGGUCCAGACUCCGUACGGGAGCAGCAGUGGGGAAUAUUGGACAAGUGGGCAAAGCCUGAUCCAGCCAUGCCGCGUGUGGUAGAAGAAGGUCUUCGGAUUAGUAAAGCUAACGUUUUAAGUUGGGAAGGUAAGGUUUAGUAACGUUAAUACGUUGACGUAACUUUGAACGUUACCGAACAGAAAUAACGACAACCGGCUAACC
rnacentral:rRNA from 1 species